GAUGAACGCUAGCGAUAGGCUUAACACAUGCAAGUCGAGGGCAGCAUGAUCUUAGCUUGCUAAGGUCGAUGCGACCGGCGCACGGGUGCGUAACGCGUAUGCAACUUGCCUUACAGAGGGGGAUAACCCGUUGAAAGACGGACUAAAACCGCAUACACUUGUAUUAUUGCAUGAUAUUACAAGGAAAUAUUUAUAGCUGUAAGAUAGGCAUGCGUCCCAUUAGCUGGUUGGUGAGGUAACGGCUCACCAAGGCGACGAUGGGUAGGGGAACUGAGAGGUUUAUCCCCCACACUGGUACUGAGACACGGACCAGACUCCUACGGGAGGCAGCAGUGAGGAAUAUUGGUCAAUGGGCGAGAGCCUGAACCAGCCAAGUCGCGUGAAGGAAGACAGUCCUAAGGAUUGUAAACUUCUUUUAUACGGGAAUAACGGGCGAUACGAGUAUUGCAUUGAAGUACCGUAAGAAUA
rnacentral:rRNA from 1 species